UACGAAGGGUGCAAGCGUUGCUCGGAAUUAUUGGGCGUAAAGGGUAGGUAGGUGGUUGCGUAUGUCUGAGGUGAAAGCCCUAAGCUUAACUUAGGAAGUGCCUUGGAAACGGCGUAACUAGAGUACUGGAGAGGUUCGUAGAAUUCCCGGUGUAGUGGUGAAAUGCGUAGAUAUCGGGAGGAACACCAGUGGCGAAGGCGACUACCUGGCCUGUUCUUGACGCUGAGGCGCGAAAGCUAGGGGAGCAAACGGG
rnacentral:rRNA from 1 species